rnacentral:rRNA from 1 species
CUACGGGUUGCUCCAGUGGGGAAUCUUAGACAAUGGGGGAAACCCUGAUCUAGCCAUGCCGCGUGAGCGACGACGGCCCUAGGGUUGUAAAGCUCUUUCAGCAGGGAAGAUAAUGACGGUACCUGCAGAAGAAGUCCCGGCUAACUCCGUGCCAGCAGCCGCGGUAAUACGGAGGGGACUAGCGUUGUUCGGAAUUACUGGGCGUAAAGCGCGCGUAGGCGGAUGGUUAAGUCGGGGGUGAAAUCCCGGGGCUCAACCCCGGAACUGCCCUCGAUACUGGCAGUCUUGAGUUCGAGAGAGGUGAGUGGAAUUCCGAGUGUAGAGGUGAAAUUCGUAGAUAUUCGGAGGAACACCAGUGGCGAAGGCGGCUCACUGGCUCGAUACCGACGCUGAGAUGCGAAAGCGUGGGGAGCAAACAGGAUUAGAUACCCCUGUAGUC